AUUGAACGCUGGCGGCAGGCCUAACACAUGCAAGUCGAACGGUAACAGGAAACAGCUUGCUGUUUCGCUGACGAGUGGCGGACGGGUGAGUAAUGUCUGGGAAACUGCCUGAUGGAGGGGGAUAACUACUGGAAACGGUAGCUAAUACCGCAUAACGUCGCAAGACCAAAGAGGGGGACCUUCGGGCCUCUUGCCAUCGGAUGUGCCCAGAUGGGAUUAGCUAGUAGGUGGGGUAACGGCUCACCUAGGCGACGAUCCCUAGCUGGUCUGAGAGGAUGACCGGCCACACUGGAACUGAGACACGGUCCAGACUCCUACGGGAGGCAGCAGUGGGGAAUAUUGCACAAUGGGCGCAAGCCUGAUGCAGCCAUGCCGCGUGUAUGAAGAAGGCCUUCGGGUUGUAAAGUACUUUCAGCGGGGAGGAAGGGAGUAAAGUUAAUACCUUUACUCAUUGACGUUACCCGCAGAAGAAGCACCGGCUAACUCCGUG
rnacentral:rRNA from 1 species